GGAUGAAAGGAGGAGCCAAAGUGUCAGCCAAGAAAAGACUCAAACUGCACGAGUGCUGUUUCACACCAAAGAGGACUUUGUCUUGAAGAUGAUGUCAGCGCACUUCACUUUGUUUCUGAUCACACUGACAGGUGUCAGCUGUGAAGAACUCACUGCAGUCCACCAUCAAGAGGGCACUUUAGAAGGCAGUACUGCUACUCUGGAGUACAAAUACCACAAAACUGCUACUGCUGGUGAUGAAUUUUACUGGUAUCGACAAUAUCCAGGAAAACCACCAGAGCUUCUCCUGUUCAUCUCAGGUUCGAGCAGAACAAGAGCAGCAGAGUCUGUGAAAUCAGACAAAAGGUUCUCAACUAAACUGUCUGAAGAUAAACGUGGUGUGUAUUUGGAGAUCAGCAGUACUGCAGUGACAGACUCUGCUGUGUACUACUGUGCUGUGAGGCCCACAGUGACACAAAACACUCAGUCUGUGGACAAAAACCUCACUCAGUGACAAACAGCGCC